UUAACGCGAAGAACUUACCUGGCCUUGACAUCCAGAGAACUUUCCAGAGAUGGAUUGGUGCCUUCGGGAACUCUGAGACAGGUGCUGCAUGGCCGUCGUCAGCUCGUGUCGUGAGAUGUUGGGUUAAGUCCCGUAACGAGCGCAACCCCUAUCCCUGGUUGCUAGCAGGUAAUGCUGAGAACUCCAGGGAGACUGCCGGUGACAAACCGGAGGAAGGUGGGGAUGACGUCAGGUCAUCAUGGCCCUUACGGCCAGGGCUACACACGUGCUACAAUGGCGCGUACAGAGGGCUGCCAACUCGCGAGAGUGAGCCAAUCCCUUAAAACGCGUCGUAGUCCGGAUCGGAGUCUGCAACUCGACUCCGUGAAGUCGGAAUCGCUAGUAAUCGCGAAUCAGAAUGUCGCGGUGAAUACGUUCCCGGGUCUUGUACACACCG
rnacentral:rRNA from 1 species